AGAUCCCUUACUUUGUGGAGUUCUCUCCCGUGAGCCUAGAUCUUCAGAGAUGGAAGUGGAUACUCCUCCGUAGGAGCUGCUAUUUGUUUUAUUGGGAUAAGCACCUGGCAAAGAAGGACCAUUCGAAAGGAACUUCUGAGGAAACAAAUCAGAACAGACAUCACUGAGGAUCAACACUUCUACAUUACUAACACCAUUGCCUCCUAAUCUGAUGUUGAAGUUUGGAAAAUGCUGAAUAAAGAAGUCUGGGGAUGUUCUCAGUCUCCAAAGCAUGGCAUACCCAAGCGUAAUGCAAAGCCUUCUCUACCUGCCUUUCCCCUUAGGCUUAAU
rnacentral:lncRNA from 1 species